ACCCAAUAAUCUGAAAAAAUAUUAUGAAAUAUCACUAUGCAAGCAUAUCAGUUAAAUUUGCGUUAAGUUACGAACUGGCUACUUAUGUCUUUGCCUUAGCUUGAGUUACAAUGGUUUAAACUGGAUCAGUACAAGUAGUUAGAUGUAGCCGGGUCUAAACAGCUUUAACGACCGUGUCUUCAACUCCAAUCUAAAUUUGGACAUUGUAUCUAAUAGGGUAACGUCUGUGCCAUAACACAGCCAACUUCUAACUGAUUAGCUUAAUUUGACAAAAAAUGUAGAACUCGCAUCACAAUUGAUAGUAUACUACAUAUACAACGUUGAUACACUUAUGCAAUGAUGUCAAUACAAGCUUUUGCUUGAAAAAUGCAAGAAUGUUUGAUAAUAACAUCCCAUACUUCUCCAAAAUCUGUGCCAGAUGAAAGGUUUACUGGAACCAUAACAUCUGCAGUGAUACAUUGAAGAGAUCUGUCUAUUGCAGAGAGUGAGAAACUUUAUAUCCAGCAGCUUUCGUACAUACCAAAUCGUAUGCAAAAAUAUAGAGACUGUCUUCUAAAAAGCUUUAACAAAAAUAAAUGCUGCCACCAAACUUUAUAACGUACAGAGAGCAGGGGAAUAACUGCAAGUAGCUCAAAGAUCAGUCCCUUUGUAGGAAGUCUUCGGGUCUUCGGUAUUCGUUUACUUUCCUUAGAAAAUGAAUCCUCGCAAAACUUGAUGUGUGUUUCAAAUAUCAAAAAAUGAAUAAAACAGUCUUUGCAAAGAGGAUUACAAAGUAUUUGUGUUCAGGGAAUAUGAAGCAUUGAAUCAUGUCUCAAUAACACAGAUAUUUCUUGCUUCUUUAUUCGAUAGGUUUAUUUACUGUAGACAACAAAGAAAUAAGGUACCAACAACAUACGCACAGUACACUUCUGAACCAUAAAGGAUGGUUAUAUUACAAAAUUGCUUUAGUGUAUUAAUCAAUAUCUAUAUGGAAUAAUCUUAAACUGGAGAUAUUGUAAACACAAAGUCUAUCCAGUCUAUGAUUCUUAAUGUUGGAUUUCUUCCACGUCUGAUUUGACCCACAUAUACCCAAAUAAAUGUGUUGCAUAUGUCAAAUCACAUUAAUCGGCAUCGUGGUACUCCUUACUAAUGCACAACAAUGCACCUUAUUGUGCACCUGUGCAUUAUGGGUAUCUAUUGCCACAAGCACCCGCAGGCACCCGCAGGCACCCGCAGGCACCCGCAGGGUAGUCAAGGGGGGCUCUAAUGUGUUGGAAAACGCUCGUUAUGAAGUAUCAAGAAUUGAAAUACGACUAAAAAAUGUGAAAAGACUGCACUGAGGUGGUUGAAACCUAGUGAAAAUAAAACCGUGCAAUGCUUAAUUGUUCAUGAGACAAUACAAUUUGAAGAUUUCAGGAACUAGAAACUAAUUCCUUACAAUUAAAUUAAGGAUAUUGCUUACUGAAACUCAUUAUAGCAUGAUAAUUAUGUACCUGCUUAAUUCAUA